GGCUGAAUAGGUUGUUGCGGGGUUACCGCCCACCCAGCCUACGAUCAGUAGGGGCCCUGAAAGAGGGAGCCCCGAGAAGGUCACUGAAACACUGGACCUAGCCCUACGGGGUGCAGCAGGCGCGAAACCUUUACAAUGCACGAAAGUGUGAUAAGGGGAUUCCGAGUGCUCAACAAUGUUGGGCUUUUGCUAAGAGUAAAAAUCUGGGCGAAUAAGUGGUGGGCAAGACUGGUGCCAGCAGCCGCGGUAACACCAGCGCCACAAGUGGGAACCGGAAUUAUUGGGCCUAAAGCGUUCGUAGCCGGUUAUAAGAAUCUUUUGUGAAAUCGUCAAGCUUAACUUGACGGACUGCCAAAGACACUUUAUAACUAGGGACCGGAAGGGGUUAGGAGUAUUUUUAGGGGAGCGGUAAAAUGCUAUAAUCCUGAAAAGACUACCUGUGGCGAAGGCGCCUAACCAGUACGGAUCCGACGGUGAGGAACGAAAGCUAGGGGAGCGAUCCGGAUUAGAUACGAGAAAUCAUGCUGAUUUCUGGAAUUAGCUUCGGAAAAGAUCGUUUUAAUCUACAAAGUACGAAGUAAAAUACAGGAUGUUAAUGAUGGUUUCCUCGCUAAUUACCCGAGUAGUCCUAGCUGUAAACUCUGCGAGCAAGGUGUUGCACAUUUUACGUGAAUGUGCAGUGUCGAAACGAAGGUGUUAAGCUCGCCGCCUGGGGAGUACGGUCGCAAGACUGAACUUAAAGGUAUUGGCGGGGGAGCAUUAGCGAGGGGUGCGGCGUGCGGUUUAAUUGAACUCAACGCCGGGAAAUCUCACCAAGAGCGACGGCAGGAUGAAAGUCAGGUUAAUGGCCUUACUUAACAAGCCGAGAGGUGGUGCAUGGCCGCCGCCAGCUCGUGCCGUAAGGUGUCCAGUUAAGUCUGGUAACGAGCAAGACCUGUGCUUACAACUUGCAAACGAGCCAUCUGGUGAUCGUGCACAAUGUGAGGACUGCUUUGGAAACAAAGAGGAAGGUGCAGGCAACGGUAGGUCUGUAUGCCCCGAAUCCCUUGGGCUACACGCGCGCAACAAUGGUAGGGACAAUGGGAUGCAAUCCCGAAAGGGAGAGCUAAACCUCUAAACCCUAUCCAAGUUCAGAUUGAGGGCUGUAAUUCGCCCUCAUGACGCUGGAAUCCCUAGUAAUCAGACGUCAACAUCGUCCGGUGAAUAUGUCCCUGCUCCUUGCACACACCGCCCGUCAAACCACUCGAGCAGGGUUUAAGUGAGCCUAAACUGUCAGGUUAAGUCGAA
rnacentral:rRNA from 1 species